UGACCACCAAUAUUUAUCCACAGAACAGUACAGCAUGACACAGGCAGUACGAGCUUCCCCCAAGCUACCACAUCCAUAUUUCACAAUUCUGUCAUGGAGGGAUUUGGGGAUGGGAUGGUUGGCCA
rnacentral:sRNA from 1 species